rnacentral:rRNA from 1 species
CAGUAGCCGCGGUAAUACGAAUGGUGCAAGCGUUAAUCGGAAUUACUGGGCGUAAAGCGUGCGUAGGCGGUGAGUUAAGUCUGCUGUGAAAUCCCCGGGCUCAACCUGGGAAUGGCAGUGGAUACUGGCUCGCUAGAGUGUGUCAGAGGAUGGUGGAAUUCCCGGUGUAGCGGUGAAAUGCGUAGAGAUCGGGAGGAACAUCAGUGGCGAAGGCGGCCAUCUGGGACAACACUGACGCUGAGGCACGAAAGCGUGGGGAGCAAACAGGAUUAGAUACCCGCGUAGUCCCUGUCUCUUAUAC